rnacentral:rRNA from 1 species
AUAUAGAUUAAGUUAUUAAGGGCGCACGGUGGAUGCCUUGGCACUAGAAGCCGAAGAAGGACGUUACUAACGACGAUAUGCUUUGGGGAGCUGUAAGUACGCUUUGAUCCAGAGAUUUCCGAAUGGGGAAACCCAGCAUGAGUUAUGUCAUGUUAUCCGCAUAUGAAUACAUAGUAUGUGAGAAGGCACACCCGGAGAACUGAAACAUCUUAGUACCCGGAGGAAGAGAAAGAAAACUCGAUUCCCUGAGUAGCGGCGAGCGAAACGGGAAGAGCCCAAACCAAUAGGCUUGCCUAUUGGGGUUGUAGGACACUCAAUACGGAGUUACAA